AGCACCGGGUAAAUCCGAGUAUGAGCUGAAUAAGAUUCCAUUGUAUCUAGGCACCAUAUUUUCGUCAUCUCUCAUCAGCUGAUGAAUAUUUAGGCUGCCUCAGUGUCCUAGCAGCUAAUGAACAUGGGACAGGACCACAGCAGUCAGAGCCCACAGCACCUGUGGUCGCUUGAACAAGACCAGCACCAGACCAAGCCAGACAGCAUUCGAUCAUGGAAGCCUCCUCCCCUAACUGAGGCGCUGUGGACAGGUGAGGGCUUCUGAGGGGCGGAGAGUCCGUUUUCUUUAAGGAUAUGGCCCCAGCUAUGUCAACCGUGUUGCUGUGCAUGGACCCGCCCCCAGGAGUAUAUGGGGAGCAUAAAUUGAACUGGAGAGGUUAUAAAAAGGAAAAAAGAGAACAUGAAGUUGGGGGUGGGGCUAAGGAAGUGAAGCUGGAUCUGAAAGGAAUA